AAAAAAGGAUGUGUAAAAGGUUAACCAGAAGAUCAAUAAAUCCAAUCCAAGUGCAAGAUUUCUGGGGGAACUCUACCUUAUGUGAAGAUGUCAGGAGCAAGACUCCAGGAGCCAUGCAUAUCCACUCUGCCAUUGUAUGACUGAGGAUAUGGAGCAAAAUGGACCUAUGGUCUAAACUAGUAA